rnacentral:rRNA from 1 species
GCUUAAACAUAAGAGGUCCAGCCUGCCCAGUGACAAAAUUUAACGGCCGCGGUACCCUAACCGUGCGAAGGUAGCAUAAUCACUUGUUCUUUAAAUGGGGACCAGUAUCAACGGCAUCACGAGGAUUCUACUGUCUCCCUCUUUUAAUCAGUGAAACUGAACUCUCCGUGAAGAAGCGGAGAUGAACAUAUAAGACGAGAAGACCCCAUGGAGCUUUAAACCCAGCAACAUCUAUUUUUUAUAAAUCUAUAUAUACGCUUAAUCACUGUUUGCUUGGUUUUAGGUUGGGGUGACCAUGGAGCAUAAAAAACCCUCCACGAAAAAAGAACUAAUAAUUCUUAUCUAAGAAAUACACCUCUAAGAAUUUACACAUUAAUUUUUAAUGAUCCGCUAUUCGAUCAACGAACCAAGUUACCCUGGGGAUAACAGCGCAAUCUACUUUGAGAGCCCCUAUCGACAAGUGGGUUUACGACCUCGAUGUUGGAUCAGGGUAUCCUAGUGGUGCAACAGCUACUAAAGGUUCGUUUGUUCAACGAUUAAAACCCUACGUGAUCUGAG